UACCAGCACCCCGAGUGGGCGGGACGAUUAUUGGGCCUAAAGCAUCCGUAGCCGGUCCUACAAGUCUUCCGUUAAAUCCACCUGCUUAACAGAUGGGCUGCGGAAGAUACUAUAGGGCUAGGAGGCGGGAGAGGCAAGCGGUACUCAGUGGGUAGGGGUAAAAUCCUCUGAUCCAUUGAAGACCACCAGUGGCGAAGGCGGCUUGCCAGAACGCGCUCGACGGUGAGGGAUGAAAGCUGGGGGAGCAAACCGG
rnacentral:rRNA from 1 species